AAAAGAACUUUGGAGAGAGAGUCAAACAGUACGUGAAACCGUCAGGAGGGAAACGAACGAGGUUGGUGCAGUGAUCACGCAGGUUCAAGCACUGCCGAAGGUGCCGACACGGUGACAAAGAUUGUCCCGUGCCGUUCGCCCGAGGCGGUGCCGUACUCCUCGUGAGCGCGGACCAGCGGCGGUUGGACCGGAGCCACAAGGCGACGGAGGAAGGUGAGUCGACACGGGUCAGUCCUGUGUCGACAGCUUACAGCCCCGUCGUACGGUGCUCAGGCCCGACCGAGGAAAUCGGGCAGCCCUUGCCCACCGCGGCACACGCCGAAUGGCGGGGCCUCCCGAUGCGAGUGAACCGUGCGGUGUGGACUGCAUGCAGUGCAAAUCGUGGCGGCGAUCUCGUGGCGGUGAGUGCCACACGUGUGCCAGUGCUGCUGGUAUUCAGACGGCCUCGUCCGACCCGUCUUG
rnacentral:sRNA from 2 species